rnacentral:rRNA from 1 species
UACGUAGGGGGCGAGCGUUGUCCGGAAUCAUUGGGCGUAAAGCGCGUGUAGGCGGCUUGGUAAGUCCGGUGUGAAACCUUGGGGCUCAACCCCAAGCCUGCACUGGAUACUGCCUCGCUUGAGUCCGGGAGGGGAGAGCGGAAUUCCUAGUGUAGCGGUGAAAUGCGCAGAUAUUAGGAAGAACACCGGUGGCGAAGGCGGCUCUCUGGAACGGUACUGACGCUGAGAUGCGAAAGCGUGGGGAGCGAACAGG